AACAACCGUACAAUAAUGACCAUUGCCUUUCAUUCGCGUUCGUUUCCGUAUCACGUGUUUGCUCUAUUUUAGUAACUGUAGUGUGUAUGCGAUUGUGUCUAUUGAAUCUCAUGUUUAUAUCUGUCUAUAUUCAUAUUUAUCUAUCUUUCUGGCUCUACAAAUUAACCUUUUUCUCUAAGUCUAUCUUUAUAAUUGUCUUUAUCUACAUACAUCUAUAUCUUCAUAUCUAUAUAUAUAUAUAUACAGAUCCACCCACCUAUGCAUCUACAAACGCAAAUAUCUUCAUAUAUCUUCAUAUAACUAUACCCAUCUAUAUCCAUCUAUACCCAUCUAUAUCAUAUAUCUAUAUAUAUCUAUAUAUCCAACCAUCCAUCUAUUCACCCACCUAUCUACAAGCAUAUACUUCUUCAUACAUCAAUAUCUAUCUACAUAUCUAUCUAUAUAUACAAGCAAACCUAAGUCUAUCCAUUUAUCCAUUUAUCCAUUGUCCAAAAACUAGGGGAGAAAGGGAACAUCUUAAUUUAUAAAUUUGCAUACAGACUUUCCCCCUUUCAAUUAUAUUAAUUAAAUUGCGAAAUGAAAACGUAUUAUUUUCGCUAAACCAUUAAACGUUUCAGUUCUCACAACACUUAGGAACAACCACUUGUAUGAAAACAUAAAUCAUACAACAACAACAACAACAAAACAAAAACGAAUACGAAGAAAAUCAAUGAAAAUUAACACUAAAAAAAAUAUUUCCCUCCCCCCCCUCUUUUCCAGUUAGACGAUCGACCUAGAUCAUUUCCCCGUAAAUUUUCCCCUAAAACGGCCAUACUUACAGGUAUUUUGGUAGGGAAUUUCGCCCUUAUGUUCGCCACCUCCUCCUUCCUCGUCAAAAAGGGCUUCAACUGUUUAAAAGUCCUCUUCGUAUUGUCAUUAUUAUCUGCGUUGUAGGCGUUCAUGUUUCUGUACACACAAGAGCUGGUGAACGACUUGGAACAAAAGACACAGUUACACAUGACUGGUCGAUUCGGCAACGCUCAGGGACUCAACACAAGUACUACUAGCCUCUCCGGCGUUUGGCGAGACACUAAGUGCUUGUAGGCUAGUACGCUCCUUGCCGAAGCUUGUUCCCGCAGCCACGCGU